rfam:Ferroglobus placidus DSM 10642, complete genome.
GCCGAGGUGGCCUAGCUGGUCGGGGCGACGGACUCAUAAUCCGUAGGUCGCGGGUUCGAAUCCCGCCCUCGGCA